ACUCGGUGUAUACUGGCCUUGAACCGAUCACAAAUUCUGACAGGACGACUGACAUUGACAGGACAAAUUACAAUGAUGAGACAACUGACAUUGACAUUGAGAAAGAAAACAGAAAAGAAAGUAGUAACUGAUAUCACAUGUGCAAAUCAAAACUUAUAUCUUAUUAGUACAUAUUAGUUAAAAUCUUUACUGAAUUUGUAUCCUAAUCAUUACAUGCAGAAAAUCGAUUCCAUAAGACUGACACAGUGGACUUUACACGUGAAGAGGAUUAAAAUUUCUUAAAGCAUUCACACACCAACGCUGGGUUUGCUAAAGAAGAUCCGAAAACUCACAGAGGUCCAUAUCGUCAGCAACAAAACUUUAAGAAAUUUUAUCCAACCAAUUUGAGGUUAGUUGGAUAGUUCCAAGGCUACCCAGCAGAAUGCCUACUCUCAGGCCACGACCGGAACGAUUGAGCAUCGUUAGAGAACUCUCGGAGGAAGAAGCA
rnacentral:lncRNA from 1 species